rnacentral:rRNA from 1 species
AAUAGAUACCCAGGUAGUCCACGCCCUAAACGAUGCUCACUAGGUGUUGGGGAAGCGAUUCCUUGGUACCGUAGCUAACGCGUGAAGUGAGCCGCCUGGGGAGUACGGCCGCAAGGUUAAAACUCAAAGGAAUUGACGGGGACCCGCACAAGCGGUGGAUGAUGUGGAUUAAUUCGAUGCAACGCGAACAACCUUACCUACCCUUGACAUGUCUGGAAGGCUGCUGAAAGGUGGCUGUGCCCGAAAGGGAACCGGAACACAGGUGCUGCAUGGCUGUCGUCAGCUCGUGUCGUGAGAUGUUGGGUUAAGUCCCGCAACGAGCGCAACCCUUGUCCCUAGUUGCUACGCAAGGGCACUCUAGGGAGACUGCCGGUGACAAACCGGAGGAAGGUGGGGAUGACGUCAAGUCCUCAUGGCCCUUAUGGGUAGGGCUUCACACGUCAUACAAUGGACGGUACAGAGGGUUGCCAACCCGCGAGGGGGAGCCAAUCCCAGAAAGCCGUUCGUAGUCCGGAUUGCAGUCUGCAGCUCGA